AACCGGAUUAGAUACCCUGGUAGUCCAUGCCGUAAACGAUGAGUGCUAAGUGUUGGAGGGUUUCCGCCCUUCAGUGCUGCAGCUAACGCAUUAAGCACUCCGCCUGGGGAGUACGACCGCAAGGUUGAAACUCAAAGGAAUUGACGGGGGCCCGCACAAGCGGUGGAGCAUGUGGUUUAAUUCGAUGCUACGCGAAGAACCUUACCAGGUCUUGACAUCUUCUGCCAACCUAAGAGAUUAGGCGUUCCCUUCGGGGACAGAAUGACAGGUGGUGCAUGGUUGUCGUCAGCUCGUGUCGUGAGAUGUUGGGUUAAGUCCCGCAACGAGCGCAACCCUUAUUGUUAGUUGCCAGCAUUUAGUUGGGCACUCUAGCAAGACUGCCGGUGACAAACCGGAGGAAGGUGGGGAUGACGUCAAAUCAUCAUGCCCCUUAUGACCUGGGCUACACACGUGCUACAAUGGACGGUACAACGAGUCGCGAAACCGCGAGGUCAAGCUAAUCUCUUAAAGCCGUUCUCAGUUCGGAUUGUAGGCUGCAACUCGCCUACAUGAAGUUGGAAUCGCUAGUAAUCGUGGAUCAGCAUGNC
rnacentral:rRNA from 1 species